AAUAUCACCUUUGAAUGAGUGAGGACACUCAUUAAAGCAAGGUCUCAUCAGUCAACUUUUGGCAUUCCAUAAUGAGCUGAUCUUCGUUUGGUAUAUAUCAAAGCUUUGUUUGAACGAUAAAAACACCAUGUCACAGUCCAAUAUAUAACUUAAGAUGCAAAUUACUAAUUUUGACCCAUUUACCAAUGCUUAGAAGGUGGAAAUGACUCUUUUGAACACAUUUUUCAAAAAUUAUUCUGAGGAUAAAUCGCACGGUUGACAAAGUACAUAAAAUCUCUCUUGGCAAAUGCAAAGGUUCCAGUUGUAAAGGAAGUGAAUGCUUAAGUUCAUCUUCUAGAUUUGAGCAUAUGACAUUUGGUUGGAAAUCAGUACCAUCCCAAACAAAGAUCGAUCAUUCAUCUUAUGCCGCCUAAUUAUGGGGAAGGAUCUUGCAUGCCAAAUUUGUGAAAGUUUCUUCCUUGAUUUCUUUAAACAUAGGAAAUUUAUUGGAAUCUUCACGAAGCUCAAAAAUUGACCAACUAUUCAACUUAUCUAUAAGCAUCUUAUCUCUAUCUCUAGGUAGAAAAUUAGAAGAAGCUUAAUAAAGAUCAAAAUC
rnacentral:sRNA from 1 species